rnacentral:ncRNA from 1 species
AUACGACAAUGGCAAAACUGUCGAAAGACAGUGACGCAAAGCUAAAGGGCCUUCCUCUUAGUCAGAGAUGGUAGCCAGUUACCGAA